rnacentral:rRNA from 1 species
GACGAACGCUGGCGGCGUGCUUAACACAUGCAAGUCGAACGGAAAGGCCCUGCUUUUGUGGGGUGCUCGAGUGGCGAAAGGGUGAGUAACACGUGAGUAACCUGCCCUUGACUUUGGGAUAACUUCAGGAAACUGGGGCUAAUACCGGAUAGGAGCUCCUGCUGCAUGGUGGGGGUUGGAAAGUUUCGGCGGUUGGGAUGGACUCGCGGCUUAUCAGCUUGUUGGUGGGGUAGUGGCUUACCAAGGCUUUGACGGGUAGCCGGCCUGAGAGGGUGACCGGCCACAUUGGGACUGAGAUACGGCCCAGACUCCUACGGGAGGCAGCAGUGGGGAAUAUUGCACAAUGGGCGGAAGCCUGAUGCAGCAACGCCGCGUGCGGGAUGACGGCCUUCGGGUUGUAAACCGCUUUCGCCUGUGACGAAGCGUGAGUGACGGUAAUGGGUAAAGAAGCACCGGCUAACUACGUG